GAUCCUGGCUCAGGAUGAACGCUGGCGGCGUGCUUAACACAUGCAAGUCGAACGGGAAACAUUUCAUUGAGGCUUCGGCGGAUUUGGUCUGUUUCUAGUGGCGGACGGGUGAGUAACGCGUGGAUAACCUGCCUCACACAGGGGGAUAACAGUUAGAAAUGACUGCUAAUACCGCAUAAGCGCACAGUACCGCAUGGUACAGUGUGAAAAACUCCGGUGGUGUGAGAUGGAUCCGCGU
rnacentral:rRNA from 1 species